rnacentral:rRNA from 1 species
AGUGAACGCUGGCGGUAGGCCUAACACAUGCAAGUCGAACGGCAGCACAGUAAGAGCUUGCCCUUACGGGUGGCGAGUGGCGGACGGGUGAGGAAUACAUCGGAAUCUACUUUUUCGUGGGGGAUAACGUAGGGAAACUUACGCUAAUACCGCAUACGACCUACGGGUGAAAGCAGGGGAUCUUCGGACCUUGCGCGAUUGAAUGAGCCGAUGUCGGAUUAGCUAGUUGGCGGGGUAAAGGCCCACCAAGGCGACGAUCCGUAGCUGGUCUGAGAGGAUGAUCAGCCACACUGGAACUGAGACACGGUCCAGACUCCUACGGGAGGCAGCAGUGGGGAAUAUUGGAAAAUGGGCGCAAGCCUGAUCCAGACAUACCGCGUGGGUGAAGAAGGCCUUCGGGUUGUAAAGCCCUUUUGUUGGGAAAGAAAAGCAGCAGGUUAAUACCCCGCUGUUCUGACGGUACCCAAAGAAUAAGCACCGGCUAACUUCGUG